AUACAUUCCUUUAAUCAUUCCACACAGGGAAAAUGUACAUUGUUACAGCAAGAUAGAGAGGACAAUAUUAGAUAAAAGGCAUGCACAUAGUAUUUAAAACAAGAAUAAUACAAAUAAUUUCAAUUUACAGAAGAACACAUCGCUGUUAGUAGCAGCAGUAUUUAUAAAAUAUAAGAGUAAAAAUCAGUUUAACAUUGCAGAAUGAAAUGUGGUAUAAAACAAUGAACCAAUUGUUUUACUAUUUAAAUGUGAAGCUUUUGAAAAAACAAAACUCUGGCCCAGCAUCUUCUUGUUUCCCAGUAAUCGGUGUAUCUCAGGGGAGGUGAAUGCAACAGUCUCAGGCAUCGCCACCACAUUUCGCAAAAAUCUGUCAGACCACAAAGGUCAUAUCCUUCAGAGCUGCUCCGACUGCCUGCUGUGGACGGACACCUUUCAAAAUGGAGACGUCACCGGUAGAUACAUCCUGCAGUUCACAAGGAAUGGAAAAAUUGAUCCUGAAGAUGUUGACAUUUUCAAG